UACGUAGGUGGCAAGCGUUGUCCGGAUUUACUGGGCGUAAAGAGCGCGCAGGCGGUCGUACAAGUUCGCGUGUGAAAGCCCCCCGGCUCAACUGGGGAGGGUCACGCGAUACUGUUCGACUCGAAGGCAGGAGAGGGAAGGCAGAAUUCCCCGGUGUAGUGGUGAAAUGCGUAGAUAUCGGGAGGAAUACCAGUGGCGAAGGCGGCUUCCUGGCCUGUUCUUGACGCUGAGGCGCGAAAGCUAGGGGAGCAAACGGG
rnacentral:rRNA from 1 species